AUACGGAGGAUCCGAGCGUUAUCCGGAUUUACUGGGUGUAAAGGGCGCGUAGACGGAAGGCCAAGUCUGAUGUGAAAGCCCGCGGCUCAACUGCGGGACUGCAUUGGAAACUGGUCAUCUGGAGUGCAGGAGGGGUAAGCGGAAUUCCUAGUGUAGCGGUGAAGUGCGUAGAUAUUAGGAGGAACACCGGUGGCGAAAACGGCUUACUAGACUGAUACUGACCUCGAGGCACGAAAGCGAGGGGAGCAGACAGGAUUAGAUACCCUGAUAGUACACGCAGUAAACAAUGAGUACUAAGUGGUGGCGCAAUUCAGCGCUGAAGUUAACGCAUUAAGUUCUCAGCCUGGGGAGUACGGACGCACGUAUGAAACUUAAAGGAAUUUCCGGUG
rnacentral:rRNA from 1 species